AUGGAAUGAUGACACCAGGACACCACUGAUUUUUGUGAUUACAACAUCCCAAAAAAGCGUUAUUCUCAAAUUACUGAAUU
rnacentral:snoRNA from 1 species